GACGAACGCUGGCGGGAUGCCUUACACAUGCAAGUCGAACGGAGUGGCGAACGGGUGAGUAAUGUAUCGGAACGUGCCCAGUAGCGGGGGAUAACUACGCGAAAGCGUAGCUAAUACUGCAUACUCUUGGAGCGGCCGAUAUCUGAUUAGCUAGUUGGGGGGGGAACGGCUCACCAAGGCGACGAUCCGUAGCUGGUUUGAGAGGACGACUAGCCACACUGGGACUGAGACACGGCCCAGACUCCUACGGGAGGCAGCAGUGGGGAAUUUUGGACAAUGGGGGAAACCCUGAUCCAGCCAUCCCGCGUGUGUGAUGAAGGCCUUCGGGUUGUAAAGCACUUUUGGCAGGGAAGCGGUACCUGCAGAAUAAGCACCGGCUAACUACGUGCCAGCAGCCGCGGUAAUUC
rnacentral:rRNA from 1 species